AUGUGAAAGAUUUCCCUGCACAAAGCCCUUAGGACCAAUCUCGUUUAUGAUGUGAGCUGGGGUUUACCAGGGUGACCAAGUUUUUACAGCUCUAAUGAAUAAUGAUAGCUGUUUUAGUCAACCUCAACUUUUUUUUUUUUUUGGGAAA